rnacentral:lncRNA from 1 species
UUAACCUCAAAAUUUCCUCACCUCUCUCUCUCACCUCCGCCGUCUGCAGCCGCCGAAAAUCGCUUGCGGCAGCGACGCUACUCCAAACCCCCUCAAAAUCACACCCUAUAAUCCUCUCUUCACCCUCAAUCCAAAUUCACCAUCAAACUUUCCGAAACCCCUAUCAAAUCCUUCCAAUUUUGGAUCUGGAAAUCCUGGAAAAAAAACUAAAUCCUUCCUCUUCUAAUUACUCCUCGACCCCGGCCCGUUUAAACUCAAAACCUACAUUAAUUGAUUGCUCUUGAUGAGAGCAAUUGAUUGAUGUUAGUCUCAGUUCAUCUCACGGCUACCGGAGUUUGUUCAGUUUAUCGGAGUUGAUGUCGAUUCCCAGUCUCUUUAUUAUUAGCUCUUAUACGGCUUCAAUUGGUAACUCCGUGAUCCUUUUCUUUUGUUCAGAAUUAAUAAUUUUCUUGAACAUCUGUUUUGCAUUUUUAUUCAAUUUAGUUAGACACUUUGCAUACUAUUCGAUUCCGUGUUUGCAUGAGUAGAUUAACAGUUCAAUUGCAGGACCUCGAUUAGUUAAUCGCAUGUGUUUAGGUUAAUUGAAUCAUUUUUAAUUAAUUCAGGAAUUUAGUUAGGAUUAACUAGUAGAUUGUCUAUGUUUUAUUUGUUCUCUAAUUUUAGCUUAAUCACUGAUUUUUAGAUUCCUUUGCUAAUUAACAAGUUUAAUUUCAUAGCUUAUUAAUGUUUCAGUUAGUUUUUGUCAUAUUAAACUCUUUGUAUUUAUCAUUUUUAUAGUGUUAGCUUUAAUUGUUCAAAAUCAAUCGUUUUGUUUAUUUUUUAUCUUUUGGGCUGUUUUAGUUUUGGAACUUGAUGAGUUGUCAGGCUUGACAAAUAGAAAGCCCAAUUAGUUUGGGCCUAAGCUUGUUGGUCAUUUGGCUUAAUUCUUUGAAUAUUUGGGUUAAUAGAGAAUAGAGUGAACUUUUCAGAAGUUCAUAGGUUCUGGGAAUAAAAGAAGUUUCUAGAAACAAGGACAUAUGUCCCAAUCUGUUAAGAAAUUGGACAUCUGUCCAUUUUCUAUUUUGAAAAGAUGUCAAUUCCCUGAUUUUAAGGGAAGGCUGGCAGAUUCCUUCACUCUCUCUCAUUCCUAUCAUCUUGCACUCUCACAUUCUAUAAAAGGGACCCUAUACUCCUCAUACACGGAGGUUAAUAUUCAGCAUAUUCACUCAAAAAGCACACACAGUCUUAGACAAAAAAGGGUCACAACUACUAGAAAUUUAGGUUUUUCUUUGAAAUUUGAGUUUAAAAAGCUGUUAAAAACACUCCAAAAAUCAGAGAGAUAUAAAGAUUGAAAGCUGCUUCUAGUCACUUUGGGAUUUUGGCAUCAUUUCUGAGUUCAAAGUUUGGUUUGGUUGGAAGAAAUUGCUGGUUUAAUUGCUGCUGUUGUUUUCUUUUGUUCAUCUGGGAUUCAAAUUGUCCUCGUGAUCUCUGUUGCUGCUCUGUUUUGAGCUCUUUGUUAGCUAUACUCCUUGAUCUUUACUUGGCGAAAUUCAGCUUCAUUUGCAAGUUUAGGUACACAUCUCGCUGCACUUGUACCUCUGUUUGAUUUGCAAUUAAAUGUUAGUUAUUCCUUAAAGUUAUUUGUUGUGGUUGCGUAAAUUGACUAUUCCUGUUUGUAAACGUGAAUGAAUAUUAGUUUUGAUAUGCUUUAGACCUUAAACUUGUUAUGGAUUUGCAUGAUUGAGGACAAAUGGUCUCCUUAGUAAUUUUGUGGCUGAAAUUGUAGUUGAUUUCACAUGUUUAGUUAGAUUUCAAACUACAUAUCUCAUGGUCAAAUACAUGCUGCCUCUAUUCAAAAUACUAACUGCUGGAAAUCUGAGCUUGCUUUUUAUGAUAAAUUAAGGUCUAAUGAUGGAUUUGAAGGUCAACAACUGUGGAUCUGUCCACAAGUUGGUUUGAGUUGCAUUUUAAUGGCUUUACUCACAUGAUAAUUCUUAGCUCUAAUCAUUGACAUUCUCAUAAUUUGCUUAAGUAUGAGCUUUAAAAUAGAACAGGUUUUUUGCUUGAAUGAUGGCUAAGCUAUGUGUGGUAAUGAAGCAUGUAGGGCCGUUGAUUUAGUAUUAUUAUCAAUACUAAUAGUUUGGUAAUUAGCUUCAUUAUAAUUUCAAGAUACUAUUAAGUUGCUAUUUGAGAACAUUUGAUUGUUGUAAAUAUAAAAAUGGCCACUGAUUUUUGUUCUAAGCCAUGAUCAAUGGGUUUGAUAUUAAGGGUGUAUUUGAUUAUCUCAUAAAAGUUCUAUUAGAGUGUCUGGCUUUUUCUUUCUCUUAUUUUGUAAGAAACGAACCGCUCAUACCUUUUAUUUACAGCAUAAUGAUGCCAGUAAGGGGUUUGAUGUGUGGAUUGAAUGAAUUCUUCUAUUUACAAUAAUACAUAGGGCUUGUUUCUGGGCCCAAGUUGAAAGAACAUGAGGUUUAAUAUUACUGUCCCUCAAGUUAUAUAUCCCUUUCAUCAUUAAUUGAUUAUCCUCUUUUGAACUCGAGUAGUCCCAAAUGUAUUCAAACUAUAAACAAAUUUAAAUGACUGGGAAGUCUUGGCUCGUCAAUAGUUCGAAUUCGAUUUAGCUAAUUGCAGACUUUGUCCACAAAUAACUCCAUAAUUCCAGACAUCCUCAUGUAAUCUUAAACCUUAGGAAAUCAUUUAAACCCAUAAACA